AUUGAACGCUGGCGGCAGGCCUAACACAUGCAAGUCGAACGAGUGGCGGACGGGUGAGUAAUGUCUGGGACACUGCCUGCGGGAGGGGGAUAACUACUGGAAACGGUAUCUAAUACCGCAUACCAUCAGAUCUGCCCAGAUGGGGUUAGCUAGUUGGUGGGGUAACGGCUCACCAAGGCGACGAUCCCUAGCUGGUCUGAGAGGAUGACCGGCCACACUGGAACUGAGACACGGUCCAGACUCCUACGGGAGGCAGCAGUGGGGAAUAGUGCACAAUGGGCGCAAGCCUGAUGCAGCCAUGCCGCGUGUAUGAAGGAGGCCUUCGGGUUGUAAAGUACGUUCAGAGGGGAGGCGGUACCCGCAGAAGAAGCACCGGCUAACUACGUGCCAGCAGCCGCGGUAAUAC
rnacentral:rRNA from 1 species